GAGAGAAGAGAAAAUGCUUGAAAGAGGAAGAAACAUCGUCACUCGAAUGCAAAUCUCAAUUCUUUUAAAAGUGAAGGCUACUCGAUAAAAAUCUUGGCCUUGUUCUUGGGUUUUCGAUGAAAUCGUGGAAAAAGGAAUUCGAUGUUGAAAAAUAUGCAUUCACUUUUAAGCCGAACACGUCGUACUAUUAUUUCCCG